GACGUAGGGCGCGAGCGUUGUCCGGAUUUAUUGGGCGUAAAGAGCUCGUAGGCGGCUUGUCACGUCGGGUGUGAAAGCCCGGGGCUUAACCCCGGGUCUGCAUUCGAUACGGGCUGGCUAGAGUGUGGUAGGGGAGAUCGGAAUUCCUGGUGUAGCGGUGAAAUGCGCAGAUAUCAGGAAGAACACCCGUGGCUAAGGCGGUUCUCUAGUACGGUACUGACGCUGAGACGCGAAAGCGUGGGGAGGCGAACAGG
rnacentral:rRNA from 1 species